rnacentral:rRNA from 1 species
UGGGGAUCUGCCCGAUAGAGGGGGAUAACCACUGGAAACGGUGGCUAAUACCGCAUAACGUCGCAAGACCAAAGAGGGGGACCUUCGGGCCUCUCACUAUCGGAUGAACCCAGAUGGGAUUAGCUAGUAGGCGGGGUAAUGGCCCACCUAGGCGACGAUCCCUAGCUGGUCUGAGAGGAUGACCAGCCACACUGGAACUGAGACACGGUCCAGACUCCUACGGGAGGCAGCAGUGGGGAAUAUUGCACAAUGGGCGCAAGCCUGAUGCAGCCAUGCCGCGUGUAUGAA